AUUGAACGCUGGCGGCAGGCCUAACACAUGCAAGUCGAGCGGUAACACAAGGGAGCUUGCUCCUGAGGUGACGAGCGGCGGACGGGUGAGUAAUGCCUAGGGAUCUGCCCAGUCGAGGGGGAUAACAGUUGGAAACGACUGCUAAUACCGCAUACGCCCUACGGGGGAAAGGAGGGGACCUUCGGGCCUUCCGCGACAGGAUGAACCUAGGUGGGAUUAGCUAGUUGGUGAGGUAAUGGCUCACCAAGGCGACGAUCCCUAGCUGUUCUGAGAGGAUGAUCAGCCACACUGGGACUGAGACACGGCCCAGACUCCUACGGGAGGCAGCAGUGGGGAAUAUUGCACAAUGGGGGAAACCCUGAUGCAGCCAUGCCGCGUGUGUGAAGAAGGCCUUCGGGUUGUAAAGCACUUUCAGUAGGGAGGAAAGGUAGCGUGUUAAUAGCCCGUUACUGUGACGUUACCUACAGAAGAAGGACCGGCUAACUCCGUGCCAGCAGCCGCGGUAAUACGGAGGGUCCGAGCGUUAAUCGGAAUUACUGGG
rnacentral:rRNA from 1 species